rnacentral:rRNA from 1 species
AUUGAACGCUGGAGGCAGGCCUAACACAUGCAAGUCGAGCGAGCGGCGGACGGGUGAGUAAAGUAUGGGGAAUGCCCGAUAGAGGGGGGUAACUACUGGAGAAGGUAGCUAAUACCGCAUACUAUCGGAUAACCCAUAUUGGAUUAGCGAGUAGGUGAGGUAAUGGCUCACCUAGGCGACGAUCCCUAGCUGGUCUGAGAGGAUGAUAAGCCAACCUGUGACUGAGACACGGCCCAGACUCCUACGGAGGCAGCAGUGGGGAAUAUUGCACAAUGGGCGCAAGCCUGAUGCAGCCAUGCCGCGUGUAUGAAGAAGGCCCUAGGGUUGUAAAGUACUUUCAGUCGGGAGGCGUUACCGACAGAAGAAGCACCGGCUAACUCCGUGCCAGCCGCCGCGGUAAUUC